UUCCGGUCUCCUCGCAAUGAUCAGCUGUGAACCCCGCCAGGCCCGGAAGGGAGCAACGGUAGCAGUGACAUCAUGUGCCGAGGGUGUGCUGGUUGGG
rfam:Microbulbifer agarilyticus strain GP101, complete genome.